AGUGAACGCUGGCGGUAGGCCUAACACAUGCAAGUCGAACGGCAGCACAGUAAGAGCUUGCUCUUACGGGUGGCGAGUGGCGGACGGGUGAGGAAUACAUCGGAAUCUACUUUUUCGUGGGGGAUAACGUAGGGAAACUUACGCUAAUACCGCAUACGACCUACGGGUGAAAGCAGGGGAUCUUCGGACCUUGCGCGAUUGAAUGAGCCGAUGUCGGAUUAGCUAGUUGGCGGGGUAAAGGCCCACCAAGGCGACGAUCCGUAGCUGGUCUGAGAGGAUGAUCAGCCCCACUUGAACUGAGACACGGUCCAGACUCCUACGGGAGGCAGCAGUGGGGAAUAUUGGACAAUGGGCGCAAGCCUGAUCCAGCCAUACCGCGUGGGUGAAGAAGGCCUUCGGGUUGUAAAGCCCUUUUGUUGGGAAAGAAAAGCAGCAGGUUAAUACCCCGCUGUUCUGACGGUACCCAAAGAAUAAGCACCGGCUAACUUCGUG
rnacentral:rRNA from 1 species